rnacentral:rRNA from 1 species
UAUCUCUGUAGAGUCUGCAUAUCAAUAAGCGGAGGAAAAGAAACUAACUAGGAUUCCCUUAGUAACGGCGAGUGAAGUGGGAAGAGCUCAAAUUUGGAAUCUUCAAGGUUUUACCUUGACGAAUUGUAGUUUAAAGAAGUGUUUUCUGUUGGUGUUUUGGUAAAAGUUCUUUGGAAUAGGACAUCAUAGAGGGUGAGAAUCCCGUAUUUGACCAUUACUUCCAGCGUUGUGAUACACUUUCAAAGAGUCGGAUUGUUUGGGAAUGCAGUCCAAAAUGGGUGGUAAAUUUCAUCUAAAGCUAAAUAUUGGCGAGAGACCGAUAGCGAACAAGUACCGUGAGGGGAAAGAUGAAAAGAACUUUGAAAAGAGAGUUAAACAGUACGUGAAAUUGUCAAAAGGGAAGCGUUUGACACCAGUGUUGUUUUUCCGAAAAAUCAAUUACGAAUGGCUUGAUUCUGUGUUGUAUUGACCUUAUCAGCUUUCUUCACUUUUUUCGAGUCUUUCUUAAUGCACUUUUCGGUUAACAAGUCAACAUCAAUUUCUUUUGUUGUAAAAGAGUCAUUCGGAAGGUGGCUUUCUUUUCGGAGAAAGUGUUUAUAGCCCUUAUGCCUCUACAAUCGGAGAGAUUGAGGUCUGCAGCGUAGAUCCUUCGGGGUUAGAUACACUUGUGCUAAGUUGUAGCUUUCCAUAGACAACUUGUUGACUAUGUUUAGUCAUGCGGCUUACUCGCUUGUGCUAUUUUACCUACGCUUAGGAUGUUGACGAGACUGUCGAUCUC